rnacentral:rRNA from 1 species
CGGGAAACUGGGGGUAAUGCUCUAUAGUCCGGGCGCACUGGAAUGUUCUCCGGAUGAAAGAUCCGUCGCUUCAGGAUGAGUCUGCGGCCGAUUAGGUAGUUGUUGGGGUAAAAGCCCAACAAGCCUGUAAUCGGUACGGGUUGUGGGAGCAAGAGCCCGGAGAUGGAUUCUGAGACACGAAUCCAGGCCCUACGGGGCGCAGCAGGCGCGAAAACUUUACAAUGCGGGCAACCGUGAUAAGGAAACCCCGAGUGCCACCACAGGGUGGCUGUCCGCCAGUGUAAAAAACUGGUGAAGAAAGGGCCGGGCAAGACCGGUGCCAGCCGCCGCGGUAACA